CGGGUUAAAAUCUAGUAAAGA
rnacentral:snRNA from 1 species